rnacentral:rRNA from 1 species
GAUGAACGCUGGCGGCGUGCCUAAUACAUGCCAGUCGAGCGAACGGACGAGAAGCUUGCUUCUCUGAUGUUAGCGGCGGACGGGUGAGUAACACGUGGAUAGCCUACCUAUAAGACUGGGAUAACUUCGGGAAACCGGAGCUAAUACCGGAUAAUAUUUUGAACCGCAUGGUUCAAAAGUGAAAGACGGUCUUGCUGUCACUUAUAGAUGGAUCCGCGCUGCAUUAGCUAGUUGGUAAGGUAACGGCUUACCAAGGCAACGAUGCAUAGCCGACCUGAGAGGGUGAUCGGCCACACUGGAACUGAGACACGGUCCAGACUCCUACGGGAGGCAGCAGUAGGGAAUCUUCCGCAAUGGGCGAAAGCCUGACGGAGCAACGCCGCGUGAGUGAUGAAGGUCUUCGGAUCGUAAAACUCUGUUAUUAGGGAAGAACAUAUGUGUAAGUAACUGUGCACAUCUUGACGGUACCUAAUCAGAAAGCCACGGCUAACUACGUG